rnacentral:rRNA from 1 species
GUCUUUUUGAGUUAUUUUUAAAGUCUGACCUGCCCACUGAUUUUUUGAAUGGCCGCAGUAUUUUAACUGUGCAAAGGUAGCAUAAUCAUUAGUCUUUUAAUUGAAGGCUGGUAUGAACGGUUGGACGAGGUAUAAGCUGUUUCAUAUAAAUUUAUAAUAGAAUUUUAUAUUUUAGUUAAAAAGCUAAAAUAAAGUUAAAAGACGAGAAGACCCUAUAAAUCUUUAUAUUUUAUAUAAUUUAAGUUUUUUUGAUUUGUUUUAUUUUUAUUAUAGGAAAUAUUUUGUUGGGGUGAUGUUAAAAUUUGAUGAACUUUUAAUUUGUUUUAAGUCAUUAAUUUAUGAAUUUUUGAUCCAUUAAUAGUGAUUAUAAGAUUAAGUUACUUUAGGGAUAACAGCGUAAUUUUUUUGGAGAGUUCAUAUCGAUAAAAAAGGUUGCGACCUCGAUGUUGGAUUAAGAUAUAAUUUAGGUGUAGCUGCUUAAAGGUUAAGUCUGUUCGACUUUUAAAUUCUU